rnacentral:rRNA from 1 species
GAUGAACGCUGGCGGCGUGCCUAAUACAUGCAAGUCGAGCGAACAGAUGAGGAGCUUGCUCCUCUGACGUUAGCGGCGGACGGGUGAGUAACACGUGGAUAACCUACCUAUAAGACUGGGAUAACUUCGGGAAACCGGAGCUAAUACCGGAUAAUAUAUUGAACCGCAUGUUCAAUAGUGAAAGACGGUUUUGCUGUCACUUAUAGAUGGAUCCGCGCCGCAUUAGCUAGUUGGUAAGGUAACGGCUUACCAAGGCAACGAUGCGUAGCCGACCUGAGAGGGUGAUCGGCCACACUGGAACUGAGACACGGUCCAGACUCCUACGGGAGGCAGCAGUAGGGAAUCUUCCGCAAUGGGCGAAAGCCUGACGGAGCAACGCCGCGUGAGUGAUGAAGGUCUUCGGAUCGUAAAACUCUGUUAUUAGGGAAGAACAAAUGUGUAAGUAACUAUGCACGUCUUGACGGUACCUAAUCAGAAAGCCACGGCUAACUACGUG